rnacentral:rRNA from 1 species
UACGGGGGUGCGAGCGUUGUCCGGAAUCACUGGCGUAAAGGGCGCGUAGGUGGUCUGAUAAGGGUGUGGUGAAAGUCCGGGGCUCAACCCCGGAUCUGCCGUGCCGACUGUCAGACUCGAGGACUGUAGAGGCAGGCGGAAUUCCGGGUGUAGCGGUGGAAUGCGUAGAGAUCCGGAGGAAGACCGGUGGCGAAGGCGGCC